GUGUCAGCAGCCGCGGUAAGACGAACCGUGCGAACGUUGUUCGGAAUCACUGGGCUUAAAGGGCGCGUAGGCGGGCCAUCAAGUCAGAGGUGAAAUCCCCCGGCUCAACCGGGGAACUGCCUUUGAUACUGGCGGUCUGGAGUAAGGUAGGGGCAUGCGGAACUGAUGGUGGAGCGGUGAAAUGUGUUGAUAUCAUCAGGAACUCCGGUGGCGAAAGCGGCGUGCUGGACCUUUACUGACGCUGAGGCGCGAAAGCCAGGGGAGCAAACGGGAUUAGAAACCCUGGUAGUCC
rnacentral:rRNA from 1 species